GACGAACGCUGGCGGCGUGCUUAACACAUGCAAGUCGUACGGUAAGGCCCUUUCGGGGGUACACGAGUGGCGAACGGGUGAGUAACACGUGAGUAACCUGCCCACAACUUUGGGAUAACGCUAGGAAACUGGUGCUAAUACUGGAUAUGUGCUCCUGCUGCAUGGUGGGGGUUGGAAAGCUCCGGCGGUUGUGGAUGGACUCGCGGCCUAUCAGCUUGUUGGUGGGGUAGUGGCCUACCAAGGCGGCGACGGGUAGCCGGCCUGAGAGGGUGACCGGCCACAUUGGGACUGAGAUACGGCCCAGACUCCUACGGGAGGCAGCAGUGGGGAAUAUUGCUCAAUGGGCGCAAGCCUGAUGCAGCAGCGCCGCGUGCGGGAUGACGGCCUUCGGGUUGUAAACCGCUUUCAGCAGGGACGAAGCUUUUUGUGACGGUACCUGCAGAAGAAGCACCGGCUAACUACGUG
rnacentral:rRNA from 1 species